rnacentral:rRNA from 1 species
AUGAACGCUGGCGGCGUGCCUCAUACAUGCAAGUCGAGCGAACAGACGAGGAGCUUGCUCCUCUGACGUUAGCGGCGGACGGGUGAGUAACACGUGGAUAACCUACCUAUAAGACUGGGAUAACUUCGGGAAACCGGAGCUAAUACCGGAUAAUAUAUUGAACCGCAUGGUUCAAUAGUGAAAGACGGUUUUGCUGUCACUUAUAGAUGGAUCCGCGCCGCAUUAGCUAGUUGGUAAGGUAACGGCUUACCAAGGCAACGAUGCGUAGCCGACCUGAGAGGGUGAUCGGCCACACUGGAACUGAGACACGGUCCAGACUCCUACGGGAGGCAGCAGUAGGGAAUCUUCCGCAAUGGGCGAAAGCCUGACGGAGCAACGCCGCGUGAGUGAUGAAGUUCUUCGGAUCGUAAAACUCUGUUAUUAGGGAAGAACAAAUGUGUAAGUAACUAUGCACGUCUUGACGGUACCUAAUCAGAAAGCCACGGCUAACUACGUG